AGCGUACACGGUGGAUGCCUAGGCAGUCAGAGGCGAUGAAGGGCGUGCUAAUCUGCGAAAAGCGUCGGUAAGCUGAUAUGAAGCGUUAUAACCGACGAUACCCGAAUGGGGAAACCCAGUGCAAUACGUUGCACUAUCGUUAGAUGAAUACAUAGUCUAACGAGGCGAACCGGGGGAACUGAAACAUCUAAGUACCCCGAGGAAAAGAAAUCAACCGAGAUUCCCCCAGUAGCGGCGAGCGAACGGGGAGGAGCCCAGAGUCUGAAUCAGUUUGUGUGUUAGUGGAAGCGUCUGGAAAGUCGCACGGUACAGGGUGAUAGUCCCGUACACCAAAAUGCACAGGCUGUGAACUCGAUGAGUAGGGCGGGACACGUGACAUCCUGUCUGAAUAUGGGGGGACCAUCCUCCAAGGCUAAAUACUCCUGACUGACCGAUAGUGAACCAGUACCGUGAGGGAAAGGCGAAAAGAACCCCGGCGAGGGGAGUGAAAUAGAACCUGAAACCGUGUACGUACAAGCAGUGGGAGCACCUUCGUGGUGUGACUGCGUACCUUUUGUAUAAUGGGUCAGCGACUUAUAUUUUGUAGCAAGGUUAACCGAAUAGGGGAGCCGUAGGGAAACCGAGUCUUAACUGGGCGUCUAGUUGCAAGGUAUAGACCCGAAACCCGGUGAUCUAGCCAUGGGCAGGUUGAAGGUUGGGUAACACUAACUGGAGGACCGAACCGACUAAUGUUGAAAAAUUAGCGGAUGACUUGUGGCUGGGGGUGAAAGGCCAAUCAAACCGGGAGAUAGCUGGUUCUCCCCGAAAGCUAUUUAGGUAGCGCCUCGUGAACUCAUCUUCGGGGGUAGAGCACUGUUUCGGCUAGGGGGCCAUCCCGGCUUACCAAACCGAUGCAAACUCCGAAUACCGAAGAAUGUUAUCACGGGAGACACACGGCGGGUGCUAACGUCCGUCGUGAAGAGGGAAACAACCCAGACCGCCAGCUAAGGUCCCAAAGUCAUGGUUAAGUGGGAAACGAUGUGGGAAGGCACAGACAGCCAGGAUGUUGGCUUAGAAGCAGCCAUCAUUUAAAGAAAGCGUAAUAGCUCACUGGUCGAGUCGGCCUGCGCGGAAGAUGUAACGGGGCUAAACCAUGCACCGAAGCUGCGGCAGCGACACUUAGGUGUUGUUGGGUAGGGGAGCGUUCUGUAAGCCGUUGAAGGUGACCUGUGAGGGUUGCUGGAGGUAUCAGAAGUGCGAAUGCUGACAUAAGUAACGAUAAUGCGGGUGAAAAACCCGCACGCCGGAAGACCAAGGGUUCCUGUCCAACGUUAAUCGGGGCAGGGUGAGUCGACCCCUAAGGCGAGGCUGAAAAGCGUAGUCGAUGGGAAACAGGUUAAUAUUCCUGUACUUGGUGUUACUGCGAAGGGGGGACGGAGAAGGCUAGGCUGGCCGGGCGACGGUUGUCCCGGUUUAAGCGUGUAGGGGGAGUGACCAGGUAAAUCCGGUUGCUUAUCAACCCUGAGGCGUGAUGACGAUGCACCACGGUGCAGAAGCAGUUGAUGCCAUGCUUCCAGGAAAAGCCUCUAAGCAUCAGGUAACAUUAAAUCGUACCCCAAACCGACACAGGUGGUCAGGUAGAGAAUACUCAGGCGCUUGAGAGAACUCGGGUGAAGGAACUAGGCAAAAUGGUGCCGUAACUUCGGGAGAAGGCACGCUGGCGUUAGGUGAAAGGACUAGCUCCUGGAGCUGAAGCCAGUCGCAGAUACCAGCUGGCUGCAACUGUUUAAUAAAAACACAGCACUGUGCAAACACGAAAGUGGACGUAUACGGUGUGACGCCUGCCCGGUGCUGGAAGGUUAAUUGAUGGGGUCAGCCGCAAGGCGAAGCUCUUGAUCGAAGCCCCAGUAAACGGCGGCCGUAACUAUAACGGUCCUAAGGUAGCGAAAUUCCUUGUCGGGUAAGUUCCGACCUGCACGAAUGGCGUAAUGAUGGCCAGGCUGUCUCCACCCGAGACUCAGUGAAAUUGAACUCGCUGUGAAGAUGCAGUGUACCCGCGGCAAGACGGAAAGACCCCGUGAACCUUUACUAUAGCUUGACACUGAACAUUGAGCCUUGAUGUGUAGGAUAGGUGGGAGGCCUUGAAGUGUGGACGCCAGUCUGCAUGGAGCCAACCUUGAAAUACCACCCUUUAAUGUUUGAUGUUCUAACUCGGCCCCAUGAUCUGGGGUGAGGACAGUGUCUGGUGGGUAGUUUGACUGGGGCGGUCUCCUCCCAAAGAGUAACGGAGGAGCACGAAGGUUAGCUAAUCACGGUCGGACAUCGUGAGGUUAGUGCAAAGGCAUAAGCUAGCUUGACUGCGAGAGUGACGGCUCGAGCAGGUACGAAAGUAGGUCUUAGUGAUCCGGUGGUUCUGAAUGGAAGGGCCAUCGCUCAACGGAUAAAAGGUACUCCGGGGAUAACAGGCUGAUACCGCCCAAGAGUUCAUAUCGACGGCGGUGUUUGGCACCUCGAUGUCGGCUCAUCACAUCCUGGGGCUGAAGUAGGUCCCAAGGGUAUGGCUGUUCGCCAUUUAAAGUGGUACGCGAGCUGGGUUUAGAACGUCGUGAGACAGUUCGGUCCCUAUCUGCCGUGGGCGUUGGAAGAUUGAGAGGGGCUGCUCCUAGUACGAGAGGACCGGAGUGGACGAAUCACUGGUGUUCGGGUUGUCAUGCCAAUGGCAUUGCCCGGUAGCUAAAUUCGGAAGAGAUAACCGCUGAAAGCAUCUAAGCGGGAAACUUGCCUCGAGAUGAGUCUUCCCUGGGGCUUAAAGCCCCCUGAAGGAACGUUAAAGACUAUGACGUUGAUAGGCUGGGUGUGUAAGUGCAGCGAUGUAUUGAGCUAACCAGUACUAAUGAUCCGUGAGGCUUAACC
rnacentral:rRNA from 5 species